rfam:Loxodonta africana unplaced genomic scaffold scaffold_6, whole genome shotgun sequence.
GUUAGCUUCAGCAGCACACAUAUUAAAAUUGGAAGGAUACAGGUAAGAUUAGCACGGUCCGUGCAGAAAGAUGACACACAAAUUCGUAAGAAAUUAAAAACUGUC